rnacentral:rRNA from 1 species
GAGCGCAAUCAUACCAGCACUAAUGCACCAAAUCCAGUCAGAACUCCGCAAUAAAGCGUGGUAGGGCGACAGUAGUACUAGGAUGGUUGACCUACUAGGAAGUCCUCAUGUUGCACUUU